rnacentral:rRNA from 1 species
CCUACGGGAGGCAGCAGUGGGGAAUAUUGCGCAAUGGGCGAAAGCCUGACGCAGCGAUGCCACGUGAGGGAAGAAGGUCUUCGGAUCGUAAACCUCUGUCAGUAGGGAAGAACGGUCACUGUGCUAUUCAGCAGUGAAUUGACGGUACCUGCAAAGGAAGCACCGGCUAACUCCGUGCCAGCAGCCGCGGUAAUACGGGGGGUGCGAACGUUAAUCGGAAUUACUGGGCGUAAAGCGCGCGUAGGCGGUAUGUUAAGUCAGGGGUGAAAUCCCCGGGCUCAACGUGGGAACUGACUUUGAGACUGGCGAACUAGAGUGUGUGAGAGGAUAGUAGAAUUCCAGGUGUAGGAGUGAAAUCCGUAGAGAUCUGGAGGAACAUCAGUGGCGAAGGCGACUAUCUGGCACAUAACUGACGCUGAGGAGCGAAAGCGUGGGGAGCAAACAGGAUUAGAUACCCCUGUAGUC